GACAGAGGCCUCGAGCGUUAGGCGGAAUCACUGGGCUUAAAGCGUGUGUAGGCGGAUCGUUAAGUACCUUGUGAAAUCCCACGGCUCAACCGUGGAACGGCUGGGUAUACUGGCGGUCUUGAGCAACCUAGGGGCGAGCGGAACAAACGGUGGAGCGGUGAAAUGCGUAGAUAUCGUUUGGAACGCCAAUGGUGAAAACAGACAGCUGGGAGUGUGCUGACGCUGAGACACGAAAGCCAGGGGAGCGAACGGG
rnacentral:rRNA from 1 species